rnacentral:lncRNA from 1 species
AGCUUUCAAUGGUUUCAUUGUCGUUCUCCGAAAGAAAAUUUGCUGACAUGAUUCAAUCUGGUGGUUGAAAGUGAAGAACCUAUAAAGAAUUAAAUAAAGAAAAUAAAAUAAAAAUUAAAUUCAUAUGCCAAAAUUUCUCCAAUAAUCAUAAUCAGGAUAAAAACUGAAACUUUGAACUUAAAGACCAUAAGAUACAUUUUAGUUAAAGAAGGACGAAAUGAAAUUAAAGCAAUGUCCUACAAUUCUGAAAUUUUCCAUCACUCUUGAAAUUUUAAUUUGGGAAAGAUAAUUGAGCAACACUCAAUUAUUCAAGUGUAAAAACAUUCAACAUUAUUAUAGAUAACUGAUGAUUUAAUUCAACUCCCAGUAGAUUUCACACACAAAGAACUGAAAUAAUCUUUGCAACUCCUUCAAACAGGACUUCUUAGAUUCAGUUCAACUGGAAUGAUCGUUGCAAUUCUAAAAUAAAUUUCAUAUCAGCCUCAACAAUCAAAGAUGACUUCAGUUCUUAAAUCAGAAAAUAACUCAAAAUUUGAUCAACGUUUCAAAAAUCCAACUACUGAAAAAUAGCUCAAAGGAAGUUCCAACUAUCUUCAAUGCAGAAUCUUUCUAAAGUUCACCACAAGCUCCCAAUUAAGUGUGAAGCUUAAUAAAAGGAACAAAAAAAUCAAUUGUCUAUGCAAAAGAACUUGCCUUACACCAAAGUUUACUUCUAGGAUUCUACAUACAUAAGUUCCAUGAGGAUGUCCUCAAAUAUUUAAUAUCAGCUGAAACUUUAAGGUCAACUUUUAAAACAUUAUUAUCAGAACUAGUUUGUACACUUGCUUGUGAGAAUUCAUAUACAUCAGAUUCCUAUUAAAAGUACAAUAAUUAAACAUAUCAUUUUUUAGAAGGCUAUAUCAUAAUGCAUUAUGUAUCUUUUUUUGUUUGUCUUGCAAGUCGAUCAAAAUAGGCAAAUAUAUAAAAUAUUUUUAUUGGAUUCUGAAGUCAUUUUCUGGUGCAUCAAUGAUUACUGUUACCAUUUUAGUCUAAGAGGUGAAUGCCUGAUGGGAAAGAAGAAGAGAAUGGAAAAUCAUAUAUCCUGCUACUUCAAUAUCCAAUUAAAAGCUAUAUGAGAGGUUAAAAAAAUCACUUUCUAAAUAAUGAGAGAGCUAAAUAAUUAGCUAUAAUGCUUUCUAAUUUAAGAAAACAACCAUAUAAUUAUUGAUUCACUCUGUUCAAAGAAUAUACAGGGAACAAGUAAAAAAUUCCGUACAAUUUUCAGAAAACAUAUUUAUUAAUGUAGAGUAUUCAAACAAACAUAUUUCUGAAUGUACAAAAUUAAAAUAAAAUUACACAGUAUAAGCAUAAUAUACUAUUGAAAGAAACUUCCUAAAGAAGAUGAUUUUACCAAUAAUAAAGAUUCUUCUGUGAAAUUGCACAAAAAUAAAUUCAACUUACUUAAUGAAAUCAGAAAUGAAACAUAAUUAAAGAAUUUAAGGAGGUUAUCAAUAAUUAACUCUUUCCAACUUGAAAAUUCACACCUCUUCAUAGGUUUCAAUCCUCCAUUUUUUGGUUAUAAUCCAUGUUUUAUCAACACAUUCAAUUGUCACUACACUGUUCAGUGUAACCAAUCUUUAUGGCAGUGGGUGAUACUACAUGAUUCGAAGAGCGUUCAAAUCAAGUUCGCCUAACACAAAAAUGCCACCGUCUUACCAAUUUAACAAGCCUAACAAGUCUAUAGGGAGGUCAUUUAAAUACUAACAUUUCAUAAUGCAAAAGAAAAAUUCUUCAACAAUCUAGCAAAGAUGAACUUUCAGACCCAUAAAGAUGUAAAUAUCUACCAGAAAUUAUUGAACCCAUGAGGUUAAAGAAAAAUUCAUUUGAGAUAAGUUAUAGAAAGAGACAGAUCGCUUUACCUUUAAAGUGGCAAAAAACUUUCAUAACCAGCAUAACAAUCCACCUAGCUAUUAUUAAUUGAUCACCAUCAGUUCAAAAUUCUUUUGUAUCCUGCAUCAAGUUGUUCCUAUCAGUAAGCACACAACAUGAUAGAUUAUCAUCUCAAAUAUUAAACUUGUCAGGACAUAAUAUAUAGGACCGUAAGUUAGCACCAAAUAUGAUGAGUCAUUAUUGCUUUUAUUAGCCUUCUGAAUCAAAGUUUCAAGCUGAUCAAUACUUGAUAUUAAAGUAAGGAACCUCUUGGAAAGUAGGCAGAGGAUCUCCUCUAGGGGUUAUCAGGACGACAUAAACAUGCUUGCUAAGACUCAAAUAGAUUUAGAGUUAACUGAGAUGAGGAGUAUGACACCUCAAGAGGCAGCAAUAGCUAUUGCAGAAGCAGAAGCUGCACAAGCCUUUGCAGAAGUUUAAAUGAAGGCACUACAAGGGAGAAGCACUCCGAAGAUGGUAACAUAUUUUUACAACAUCAUACCAGUCCCUUUUUCCUUUCUUUCGUUUCCUCAUAAUUGAGAUAAUUUCUCCUUUAUCUUCCUACAUUUUUAGGCAAUGUUUAGGACUCAAGACCCCUCAAUGAACUUAUGUUACCUUUUCGUAUUUGUGGUAUCCCUUAAGCUUAGCUUAGAUGAUAUUUCUCUAAGUUUUGAUGGAUGUUGUUACUGAAUUCUCUCUAUUAAAACAUUUAGUUUGAUCCAUUUAUGGUAUAUGUCAUUAAUUAAAGAGCUGGAAUGACUUAGUCACAUAUCAGUUGAUGGUUCAAAGUUCUCCCAUUUCAUAAACAAACUCACAAGCAUCUUUAUUUGUAUGUUUAUGUCAUUCCUCUUCAAUGCUUGUUCUUGUGACAGAAAAUUUGAUAUCAUGAGGUCUUUUUGGUUGAUUACGAAGUAAGUAUUACCUAUUUAGUGGCAAGUCUUUUACAUCGUUAGUUUGCAGUAGCUUGAGUUGGGUAUUUCGAAUGAUCAGAAAAUUAUUGCUGAUCAGCCAACUGCUCAUCAUCCAACUUCACAGGUGUUUUGCUGCUCAUAUUUGCAAUAAAUGAAAUACUCAAUAUGCAUUGCACAAUUCUCAUCAGAAUUACAAGAAAUAAUAUAUGGAUUCGCAGUAUUGAGAUUGAAAAAAGAUAUGUGAGUCCCUAAAUGAAUUAGAGAUAACGAUCAGUAGGAAAAUAGUACAAUACACCUCCAUGUUUAGCAUGAUAUCUUCAAGUAUAAGGCACCAUAGUCCCUAAACAACUUGUGCAUUUAAUGAUUGAUAAGCAAAGUUAACAAUUAACUCUAGCAUACCUAAAUAUAAAUGUGAAGCUAAUGAGAAACACAUUGAGGAUAAUACCAACGGCCAAAAAUAAUUUAUCAAUGCACCCAUUAUUUGUGUUAGGCAGUGCAAAUUUUCAAAAAUAGAGAUAUGUACACUUUAAGUUAAAUAGCUAAUCCAACAUAUUAUCAGUUUCCGCUAGCUUCUUGUUUAUUUAAUCUCCCUUAUACUUCAAUAGAAUUAAAUAUUAGCUCGUGUAAUUUAGGCCUCAUGAAAUAGAAAAUAUAAGUGAACCAAAGAAGUUUUAAAGUCCCUUAAAAGCUGAAUAGAAUACUAAUUGUUACAACAAAUGCUCUGUAAAAGAAUUAUCUGCACCACACAUAAUUUGAUCAUGGAUAGAGUCGGAUAUGAGAAAGUAUAAUGCUCUGCUAAGGAAAAAAUAAAACAAUUUCUUACAAUCAAAUUAGAGAAGAUAAAGUAUAGUUAAGGAGUGAUAUUUGUUUUUCAAUAUUGAGAUCGUAUACCAGGAAAUUAUGAACUUACUCAUAAGAAAUGUAUAAAUUGGGUAGAUUUUUUUUAAUUGAAGUUCUUAUGCUCCAUUUUCUCACCUGAGAAAUUAAUAAAUUGAAAAAACACUCACAUGAACAACACAACGAAAUGAACACUAAAUUUCAAUAAUCAAUUAUUUUUAAAAAAAUCAUAAAUUAAAAAUAAGGUGAGGAGAAGGAGCAAAAGAGGAGAAAGAACAUCUGAUUAACUAUAAAUACAGUGCAUGCAACAUUACUGCAAACAAACUGAAUGAAAAAUUAAAUAAAUAAAAAAAAUUAACAAAAUAAGACCUAAAAUAAAACAAAUCAGAGAUGCAGAUGCCCGUUAGAUAUCACUGAGAUUUUCUGGGCAGUGAAAAAAACCUAACCAUCAACGAUUGAAAGAAGAAGGUAGAAUAAAGCUAGUUAAGAAACAAAAAAAAUGAAAGAAAAUAAAAGAUGAAAAAAAGGGAAUGGAAGAGGCAGUGGGUAUAGAGAUGACUAAAGUCUCACCGAGCAUGCAAGGCCUUCCUAGAAGAUGAACAAUUACUGAGCAACAUUUUCUCAAAAGUUGG